GUCUACAUUUGGAGUUGGUAGGAUGAGUCACAUUGGUGGUCAAAGUCAAACUGGGAGACUGGGAAGGGUAGGGAGGUGCUGCACACUCACCUCCCAUGCUCCCCAGAGUCCGUCAGUUUGGUGGUCUGUUGCCAGAUUACAGUAAGAUUUGUAGGUCAGUCAGGUUGGUUGUUUUUAUGGUUGCCAGGGUCAGUAAGGCAGGUGGUAGGGAAGUGCUACGCACUCACCUAGCCAGGACAGGGUAGGAUGUAGGGAUGUAUGGAUCAGGGUCAGAGUGGGACACAGAGUAGGAGGUACUGUUGGUCUGUACAUUUGGAGUUGUUCUUUGAAGUUGCCAGGAUGAGUCAGGUCAAACUGGGAGACUGGGAAGUGUAGGGGAGGUGCUGCACACUCACCUCCCAUGCUCCCCAGGGCCAGUCAGUUAUGUGAUUACAUAUCUGUAAGUCAGUCAGGUUGGUUGUUUUUGGAGUUGCCAGGGUCAGUCAGUCAGGGUCAGUCCAGGGAAGUGCUACGCACUCACCUUGCCGAGAUCAGAAGGGUGGUGGUGGUGGUGGUCUGUACAGUUGGAGUUGCUCUUUGGAGUUGGUAGGAUGAGUCAGAUUGGUGGUCAAAGUCAAACUGGGAGACUGGGAAGGGUAGGGAGGUGCUGCACACUCACCUCCCAUGCUCCCCAGGGCCAGUCAGUUAGGUGAUUACAUAUCUGUAAGUCAGUCAGGUUGGUUGUUUUUGGAGUUGCCAGGGUCAGUCAG